ACGCUGCCACAGCUGUUUCCCAAGCCAGCAGCCAGCCAGACUACACAAUGGCCUGGGCAGAGUAUUACCGACAACAGGCGGCCUACUACGGGCAGACGUUAGGGCAGGCUCACAGCCAGGAGCAGUAGAACAACUGUUUGAUUCUUCUUCCUUUUUCCUUUUCCUUGGAAUCAUUGUGGAAACAAACCUUUUUUGUAACAGAGGUUUCUAGAUUUGCAGCCGUUUGAAGAUCUUUCUUUCUUCUUCCUUCCUUCCUUCCUUCCUUCCUUUCUUUCGUGAAACACUAGUGGUUAGGAUAAUCUCUAUCGAACUUUUUCUAAGAAUCAGGAACAAUUAGUAACAUGUACUAAACUUUACGGACAUGCUAUGUCAUUUUCUUCCUUUUCCUUAAUUUCUGCUUUUUGUUUUUGUUCUUUUUUUUUUUUCCGGGGAGGAUUCAUUUCCGAAAUUGUAAGGCAAAAAAAUUAAAAAAUGACAGGAAAAAAAAAUUAAAAAGAGCACGAAGCAAAACUCCGGGAACAUGAUUUGGAGGGAAGCCAAUGAACAGCUGGCAUCACAACUUUCCCCAAAGCUUUCAACAAAUGGGUUUUUGUGUGGGCGUGUGUUUGGUUUUUUUUUCUUUCUUUUUUUCUCUUUUUCACCCCACCCCCAUCUCUUCUCUUUGUACUUUGAUUUUAAAAUCUUUUUUUUUUCUGUUGAAAAAGAAAAACAAACAAACAGACAAACAAACAAACAAAAAAACGCUUGGAAGUCUUAGGUGGUAUGUAACAAAUUCUAAAAGAAAAGAAAAUGAUUUUUUUAAAAAAGAAAACAGUAUUUAAAUAUUCUUAAAUAUGUAAAUUCAUUAAAUAUUUUACUUCUAAUUUUUCUUGUACCUUGGCUGUCUUUUUUUGAUUUUAUUGCAUUUUUUAAAAAGAAGAAACUGAAUUAUGCUAUGUAUUGUAAUUAAUUAUGUGAAUUUAUUGGGACAGUUGCUGUUUGCUGUCGUUCUUUUAUCGCGGGGGGGGGGCAUUUUGUAGGGGCUGUAUAAUUUCUAGAGAUCUAAAGGGUUAAUAUAAAAGCAAUGUGUUAAUUUUUUAGUGAUACUAUUUUCCUUUCUAUGUUUCCCUGGUUGGUUGCAUUUGUAAAUCUAAGACCUCCAAGCAUCUCUUAAAAAAAAAAAAGCAAAAUACUUUUUGUCUAUUUCAGAAAUAAAUACUGUUAUUUUUAAUAUUAAGAUGAAACUGCUAUUAGUAUCUUUAACAAGCACUGUGGAACAUUUAAAUCCUAUAAAAUAGUAGUAACUAUUUUUUAAUUCCAGGGUGUGUGUUUGCUUUUGGCUUUUUAUUUUUUUUCCUUUGUUUUUAAGUAUUUUCUUACCUUAAUAUUUGUCAAAUUUUACCUACAGGAAAUAAAAAUGAAAUCUAGUAUUAACCAUAGGUAUGUUCUGAAUAAUUUUUUGAUUUAAUAAAAGGGAUAAUAUGGUUUCCAGUGUUUAUUGUAGUGUUUUCUUGUACAGAUAACAGUGUAUUUUUAAAGAGAAAAAAAAACGGAAGUAAAGCUAUUUUUUUCUUGACAUUUUUAAUUGAUCUAUGCGACAUUCCGUUUUGAAUUGUACCGAAGUUGCUGUUUUAGGAGCUUCCUCGCCCUCCCUCCCAUUUCUUUAUAUAAUGCUUGAAAUGUCUAACUGUAUACAGAAAAGAAAAACAAUUGGAUAAUGUUCAGCAUGAUGUUUUAAAACAAAAAUGUUCUUUUUAUUUGACUGACAGUUGCAUUUUACACUCUCUCUAUAAUAAAAAAAAAUUCCACACG